AGAAUGGUUUGGUCCUAGCCUUAUUAUCAAUUAUUUUCUUAAAUUACACAUGCAAGUCUCAGCACACCCGUGAGGACACCCUUAAACCCUUAACCAGACUAAGGAGCCGGCAUCAGGCACAACAUUUGCCCACAACGCCUAGUCCCACCACGCCCCCAAGGGCAUUCAGCAGUGAUAGAUAUUGCUAAUAAGCGACAGCUUGACCCAGUUAAAGAAAAUAGAGCCGGCCAACUCGGUGCCAGCCGCCGCGGCUAAACCGCAUGGGCUCAAACUGAUAGUUACCGGCGUUAAGCGUGAUCAAAGUUCCUCCAAAUUAGAGUGAAACCUAUACUUAGCCGUGAAAAGCUUGAACUAGAGAAAAUCAUAAACGAAAGUUACUCUAAUUAAUCACUUGAAUACACGACAGCUAGGAAACAAACUGGGAUCAGAUACCCCACUAUGCCUACCCGUAAAAUAUUAAUUCACACCCACCAACGCCAGGGUAUUACAAGCCUUAGCUUAAAACCCAAAGGACUUGACGGUGUCCCAUCCACCUAGAGGAGCCUGUUCCAUAAUCGAUAAUCCCCGCUAUACCUAACCACCCCUCGCCAAUCAGUCUGUAUACCUCCGUCGUAAGCUUACCAUAUGAAUGCUUACAGUAAGUUUAAUGGCCACAAGCACCAAUACGUCAGGUCAAGGUGCAGCUUAUGAAGUGGCGGACAAUGGGCUACAAUUUCUAUACUAGAACAAACGAAAUGCUGCAUGAAACACAGCCACGAAGGCGGAUUUAGUAGUAAAAAGAAAAUAGUGUGUUCUUUUUAACUAGGCCCUGGGACGUGUACACACCGCCCGUCGCCCUCUUCAAUAGUGACUAAAUAAUUUAUAAUCAAUCAACACGCCCUAGAAGAGGUAAGUCGUAACAUGGUAAGUGUACCGGAAGGUGCACUUGGAUCAA
rnacentral:ncRNA from 1 species